GGGGUUGUGGUCCAAUGGCAAGACACUCAUCUCCAAGGUGAGGGACGCCAGUUCGAAUCUGGCCUUCUCCA
rnacentral:tRNA from 1 species